ACGCUCGACACCUACGGGGGGCAGCAGUCGGGAAUAUUGCGCAAUGGAGGAAACUCUGACGCAGUGACGCCGCGUGCAGGAAGAAGGUUUUCGGAUUGUAAACUGCUUUAGACAGGGAAGAACAAAUGACAGUACCUGUAGAAUAAGCUCCGGCUAACUACGUGCCAGCAGCCGCGGUAAUCUGAGCGGGCUGGCAAGGC
rnacentral:rRNA from 1 species